rnacentral:rRNA from 1 species
GACGAACGCUGGCGGCGUGCUUAACACAUGCAAGUCGAACGGUAAGGCCCUUCGGGGUACACGAGUGGCGAACGGGUGAGUAACACGUGGGUGAUCUGCCCUGCACUUCGGGAUAAGCCUGGGAAACUGGGUCUAAUACCGGAUAGGACCACUGCCUGCAUGGGUGGUGGCGGAAAGCUUUUGCGGGGGGGGAUGGGCCCGCGGCCUAUAAGCUUGUUGGUGGGGUGAUGGCUUACCAAGGCGACGACGGGUAGCCGGCCUGGGAGGGUGACCGGCCACACUGGACCUGAAAUACGGGCCAGACUGCUACGGGAGGCAGCAGUGGGGAAUAUUGCACAAUGGGCGCAAGCCUGAUGCAGCGACGCCGCGUGGGGGAUGACGGCCUUCGGGUUGUAAACCUCUUUCAGCACCGACGAAGCGCAAGUGACGGUAGGUGCAGAAGAAGGACCGGCCAACUACGUGCCAGCCGCCGCGGUAAUAC